CCUUAGAUCUUUGCUGCUUCUCUGUUUGCUUCCUUGAGCCCAGCUCUCAUCUCCCUACCCGUUUCCCUUUUCCCUUCCCAUUUGUCAGGGGCUUGGGUCCCACGGGCCUACUUCCCCCCCUGUCAUGGACAUAGAUUGAUACACAUAACUCUGUGACAGCAUAUUACAUUAUGCAAACAAUAAUUUUAAAAGCUAGUAUCAUUUGAUUGAUUAACCUUAAUAAUACAGUAUGAAGCUGUUGCCAGUAGACUAAGCCCAACUCCUUUAGUUUCAGAAUAAAUCCAAAGUUUGGAUUCAGGAAGGAAAUGGGACAAAUGUAGCCAAAGCAAAAUACACAGGGCCAGAAUCCGCUACCUCAGAAAAGAAUCCACCAAAGUCAACAUUAUGAGCAAGGACUGUUUUGAAAAAGUAGUAAUCGUGGCCAUUUUUUACUAACAUAUUUCAGCUAAAUACCUCUUCCUCUCUUUAUUCAUCACUGGAAGUUCAGAAUCACACCACCUCCUGUUGCAUCCUAUUUGGAAGAAGCUGGGGUCCCACUAGGAGGAUGCAAGCAAGCCUUCUUGACUGAUGACACUACAUAAAUCCUACUCCUCUCAAGACAUCUCUGAAAUUUAUUCAUUUUCCCAGGUGGAAACAAAGUCCAGGUGCUCAAGCCUGCUCCACAUAAGAGGUGACAGAUUGUUCUGUGCAAAGUUAAUUGAAAAAAUGCUACAUAGCUGCAGCAAAAGGAUUAGCAAUGUCAGAAAACAUCUAGGGUGAGUGAAUGAAGUGUCUUAUAUCUACAAAAGCAAACAAACAAACAAAACCCAACAAAUAAGCUAAGUUUCUUAAAGGUCUUUAUAGAAAUAAGAAAGAUUAUUCCCCAGGUACAGCACUAGGGCCUUUUCUAUUACUGAAUACUAAAAUCUGGUUGGCUGUGACAUUGAACUAGAGGAACAUAUAUUUUGCUGUACAGUUGGCUUUCUGAUGCCUAGCAGUUUAUGAUUUAUCAUAUUGCUCAUGAUUACAUCCCUGCCUAACCAGGAAUAAAAUUCUCUGUGGAGUUCA
rnacentral:lncRNA from 1 species